GCUCCCGUAGUGUAGACCGGCCAAUCAUUCUGGCCUUUCAAGCCAGUGACUCGGGUUCAAAACAAGGCGACUGCCUUGAGGCGUGAGUGGCGUUCAUCCCUGUGGGAUGAAGCCAAUGUUUAUUAUCGAAUUUAAUAUGCGUCUGUGGUCUCCUUUGUGAAAUUCCCGGCGGGAGCA
rnacentral:tRNA from 1 species